UAAUUUGUCCAUUUCUGAUUUGCUCUCAUGGUCAGGUGACUGAUGUGUUAAAUGUUGUCCUGGAGUGCCCCCUGUCCUGUUCCCAACACAUCUGAUUUUUCCAGCCUUUCUGAGUUAAAGUGUGUGUGUGAAUUUGGUAUGUGUCAGAAAUACAUGGGUGCUGCAGUAUACAGGAAAGAAUACACCAUUGAUCAGCUUUAUUGUUUAUGACCUAAAGAAAUAACAAGGUCUAAUAUAUUAAAAUGACUAUAGGCAACAUUAACUUUAUUCAACAUGUCUUUGUCUCUGGUCAUUUUUUUUAAUUGUUUACUCCAGAUUUGUACUCUUCUUUCUUUUGCAAACACAUUAUGAGUCAUUCACAAUGGUUUAUGAAUAAAAAGCCUGUCCUGCAUCAGAUGCUGAUCCGCUUAUUAUCUGUAGUGCUGUGGCAAUGAAUGACGAGACUCUUUGUAGGAAGCUCUGUUUGCUGUAAGACCAUUUCCUCAAUUAAUACAAACUCAAUGGCGUUCUUUGUAGAGCUGGAACCUCAAAUAAAAAAAUACAGAUAGAGUAUGUGCGCUACACAGACUGAGCAGAGUGUCUUCACACUUGUGCUCCAGUAUGAACUCGCAGCUCAGUGGUGCUGCUCACUGCACUGCAUGUAAUGGGGGAAAAGGCAGCAAGGGGCCAGGUGUUGCUAGAUUUGGCUUCUCAAUGUCGUUGGUGAUGUGAAAGGACAAAGGCAGUAUUGAGGGCCCAGGCAGUGGGUUGGGAGCAGUCGGAUAGUUUUACAGAAAAGCUAGUGUUUGUGCCAAGCCUGCACUCAUACACAACAGACACUGUGUUCUGCUGCUCCGCUCCCAGCUUUGUCUCAAUGCACCAACCCCCCCGUCACACACACUUUUUUUUUGUUUCAGCACAGGUAGCAAUAGCGCUUGCAUCUAGGGUGCAGAUGAGAAAGUUAGAUAGCUGGCUGUUGAGAACAUGGUUUGGCAUUCUAGACUACCUCUUAACAAUCCACACAAAGACACGGAGCCAGUGAGAAACAUGAUAAAGCAAUGCACCAUCUCACUCAUGGAUAGACCAACCAUCAACGCCCCUCCUUCCCAUCCUCCCUUUCUUCCUCCCUCCCUCCCUCCAGAUCUUGGGAAUUCUCGCUUCAGCAGAUAUCAUUUGUCUGUGUACACUUACCUGCUGUGAAUGCAUAUCAGAGCUCUUGCAUCUACCUAAAAAAGCCAGGCUUGCCUUUGUGAAAGGUUGUUUUUAAUCGUGUUUUCCAAUAUUCACGUAAAAUCAGUGAACAAUUUUCAAAUUUGGGAAUGUCAAUGUUUUUGCUUGAUCAAAGCGCUUUUGAGAAGUGAAUUCGAGAAUAUUUCGUCCCCGUGUCCUAGUGAGCCAGCUUGAUGCGUAAAUCUGUACCAUCCACAGAGGAAACAAAUGAAACCACACCAAGGAACACAAUCACACUCAGCCCUGUACACUUCGACCCGACCUCUGUGUGAAUUUGUUGUGCAUAUAUGUGUGUGUGUGUGUGUGUGUGUGUGUGUGUGUGUGUGGUUAUGUGUGGCUGGUUUUAAUCUCACAGGGGUGUGAUCUGCCUGCUGCAUGAAAACGGAGUAAGAUGACACUGAUGUGAUAAUGAGGCCCAGCCCAGUGGCCUAGACAAACAGCUCGUCUUUGCCCAACUGACACACCAUCAGGAAGCAGGCAGAGGUGCUGCAGCUCUCAUGGAGCACAGCACUGCAAGCCAUGCAUUCUGUCGAUGUCUCAUUAGUGGCUCUGGGUCUCAGUGGUGCUCUCGGCCACCUCCCCCCCUCACACACUACCCUUCCAGCAGGUUUUACCUUCAUCCAGUUCCCUACAUGGGCUUCGUAUUAAAGCGCUGCAAACAGUGUUCCCGAAAUGUCAAGUCAGCAGCACAACAAGCUGGUCUUCACAUAUGAUUGUGUGAGGAUUUUAUUUAUUAGUAUGUCCAUUCUUUCUGCUUCUCACCCUCAUGCUGGCUUGGCUGGGAUCGCUCACAUCUAAGAUGGCAGUAAUGCCUAAAUUUCACACUGCAACAUUAACGAGAGCUGACACAGGGGAUUAGUAGCAGACAGCUGGAAUGCCCGGCCCUUUUGUGCUGCAUGAAUCUCAGCCAAAACCCUUCUCACCAAGGCCAAGAGAGACCUGGGGAAAAAAAAGACUUCUCCUUGGAAAUAAACACAAGACUGGCCAAAAGGAAGGAAUGUGCCACCAAUGGACAAAACCAGUGCAGUGAUCAGACAGAAUACACUGUCCAGGAAGUGCAACCUGUAGAUCGCCAUUUUGUUUUCCUCUUCUAAUUCAGUAAAUGUUACCUGUAGUAAAUUGACCAAAUAAUGUUGAAAAUGAAUCUGUGUAACCUGUAAAAGGCCUUGCAGAAGGUUACCUUUACCUUGUACAUACACUUACAUGCAUGCAUACACUUUAAGGCCACUUUAAACAAGUGCACAGAUGUUCCUAUUAUUCAAUGCAACAUUCAGAAGAUAAAAAGUCAUGUUGGCUAAAAGUAUUUUAGUUAAAAAAAACUAGGCAAUGUUGGUUACAUUUUCUACCAUCCAGUGUCGCCUGGUUAGCAGGAGUGGAAAUGUAUAUGCUGUCAGCCUCAGAUUUAUGCUUUUUGAGCUGCUUUUCAGCUCACAAUGGUCGUAAAGAGUGGCUGCUUGAGUUUUCCAGCUAAACUAGCCAUAUUUUUCUGAUCUUUCUUACCAACAGCAUCUUUUGUAUUACUGCUCAAUAAAUCUUUAGUUUAA